rnacentral:rRNA from 1 species
AUGAUCCACGAAAACAGCGUCGAUCUGCACUCGCUGCUUGAGUUCAAGAAGGGCAUCGUUAGCGAUCCUCAAGGAGCCUUGAGUAACUGGAACGACACAACCCAUUUAUGUCGCUGGAAUGGUGUCGACUGCACCUCCACGACACCACCGUUCCGCGUCUCAUCGCUUAUUCUCGCUAGCCAAAACUUAGCAGGCCAAAUUAGCUCCUCUCUAUUAAACCUAACUUUCCUCGCAUGGCUUGACCUUUCGGGGAACUAUUUUGUUGGCCCAUUGCAUGUCCUUGGCCAUCUUCAAAGAUUACAGACACUUUACCUCAACAACAACAGUUUAAAUGGGAUAAUUCCUGAUUCACUUACCAACUGUUCCAACUUGAUCAACUUAGAUCUCUCUGUAAACUCCCUCAUGGGUGUAAUUCCUACAAAACUGGUCUUCCUUUCAAGACUGAACUACUUAGAUCUCUCUGCAAACUCGCUAGUCGGUCAAAUUCCUCCGAAACUAGAGCUCCUGUCAAAAGUCAAAACCUAUCUUCUUGGAUCUCUCUAUAAAUUUGCUAGUGGGUCAAAUUCCUCUGAGUUUAGGAUUUCUUCUUAA